rnacentral:ncRNA from 1 species
UGCAUUUAUCAGACCAAAAACCGUCCGCGUCUUCGGGCGCGUUCGCCUUGGUGACUCUGGAUAACUUUGCGGAUCGCACGGUCUAGCACCGGCGACGGAUCAUUCAAGUGUCUGCCCUAUCAACUUUCGUCGGUACGGUAUUUGCCUACCGAGGUUCUUACGGGUGACGGGGAAUCAGGGUUCGAUUCCGGAGAGGGAGCCUGAGAAACGGCUACCACAUCCAAGGAAGGCAGCAGGCGCGCAAAUUACCCAUUCCCGACGCGGGGAGGUAGUGACGAAAAAUAACAAUGCAGGACUCGUUCGAGGCCCUGUAAUUGGAAUGAGUACACUUUAAAAGCUUUAACGAGUAUCCAUUGGAGGGCAAGUCUGGUGCCAGCAGCCGCGGUAAUUCCAGCUCCAAAAGUAUAUAUUUAAGUUGUUGCGGUUAAAAAGCUCGUAGUUGGAUUUUGGGCGCAGGCGGCCGGUCCGUCGCAAGGCGUGUACUGGACGUCCUGGCCUUCCCUCCGGUUCUCCGCCGGUGCUCUUGACUGAGUGUCGGCGGCGGCCGGAACGUUUACUUUGAAAAAAUUAGAGUGUUCAAAGCAGGCUCUCGAGCCUGGAUAAUGGUGCAUGGAAUAAUGGAAUAGGACCUCGGUUCUAUUUUGUUGGUUUUCGGAGCGCGAGGUAAUGAUUAAGAGGGACAGACGGGGGCAUUCGUACUGUGCCGUUAGAGGUGAAAUUCUUGGAUCGGCGCAAGACGAACGACUGCGAAAGCAUUUGCCAAGAAUGUUUUCUUUAAUCAAGAGCGAAAGUCAGAGGUU